UUGGUGUUGGUAGCAGCAUUGUUGGUAGUAGUUCCAGUGGGUGUAGUGGGUGUACUCGGUGUAGUAGGUGUAGGUGUAGUGGGUGUACUGGGUGUAGGUGUAGCGGGUGUGGUGGGUGUACUGGGUGUAGGUGUUGUGGGUGUACUGGGUGUAGGUGUAGUGGAUGUUCUCGGUGUACUGGGUGUUGGUGUAGUGGGUGUUGUGGGUGUAGGUGUAGUGGGUGUACUCGGUGUAGGUGUAGUGGGUGUACUCGGUGUAGGUGUAGUGGGUGUAGGUGUUGUGGGUGUACUCGGUGUAGGUGUUGCGGGUGUUGCGGGUGUUGUGGGUGUUGUGGGUGUUGCGGGUGUUGCGGGUGUUGUGGGUGUUGUGGGUGUUGCGGGUGUUGCGGGUGUUGCGGGUGUUGUGGGUGUUGUGGGUGUUGGG
rnacentral:lncRNA from 1 species